rnacentral:rRNA from 1 species
CGGCAGACCCGAAACCGAGUGAUCUAGCCAUGGCCAGGUUGAAGUUCCGGUAACACGGAAUGGAGGACCGAACCCACCAGCGUUGAAAAGCUGGGGGAUGAGCUGUGGCUAGGGGUGAAAGGCCAAUCAAACUCGGAGAUAUCUGGUUCUCGUCGAAAUGCCUUUAGGGGCAGCGUUGUAUUAAUGUAUCGGGGGUAGAGCACUGAAUGGGCUAGGGGGCCUACAAGCUUACCAACCCCAAUUAAACUCCGAAUACCGAAUACAUGAUGUACAGCAGUGAGGCUACGGGUGAUAAGAUUCGUAGCCGAGAGGGAAACAACCCAGACCAUCAGCUAAGGUCCCUAAAUUGAUACUAAGUGAUAAAGGAUGUGGAAUCGCCCAGACAGCUAGGAGGUUGGCUUAGAAGCAGCCAUCCUUUAAAGAAAGCGUAAUAGCUCACUAGUCAAGGGGUUCUGCGCCGAUAAUUUCCGGGACUAAGUAUCAUACCGAAGCUAUGGGAUUCAUUCGAUUAGAAUGGAUCGGUAGACGAGCGUUCUAUUAACCUGCGAAGGUUGACCCGUGAGGGCAGCUGGAGGAGAUAGAAAUGAGUAUGCUGGAAUGAGUAGCGAUAAAGCCUGUGAAAUACAGGCUCGCCGUAAGCCCAAGGUUUCCUGAGUAAAGUUAAUCUGCUCAGGGUUAGUCGGACCCUAAGCCGAGGCCGAAAGGCGUAGGCGAUGGAAAACAGGUUUAAUAUUCCUGUACCAGUUUAAUAUUGUUUGAACUAUGGGGGGACGCAGAAGUGAAAGGAGAUCCCGGUUUUGAUUGUCCGGGUUUAAGUGUGUAGGGAGUUCUGGUAGGUAAAUCCGCCGGAACAUUAUCCUGAGGCACGAACAGGAGGGCCUAGCCCAUAAACUCUCCCUAAUCAUGCUGCCAAGAAAAUCCUCUAUGUUAGAUAUUAGACUGACCGUACCGUAAACGGACACACGUAGGCGAGGAGAGAAUCCUAAGGCGCUUGAGAGAAUCCAAGUAAAGGAACUCGGCAAAUUAGCCCCGUAACUUCGGGAGAAGGGGUGCCACUUGAGGAAACGGACUUCGCGUCCUGAUUUUUGAGUGGUCGCAGUGACCAGGCCCAAACGACUGUUUAACAAAAACACAGGUCUCUGCUAAGUCGUAAGACGAAAUAUAGGGACUGACACCUGCCCGGUGCUGGAAGGUUAAAUGGAGAGGUUAGCUUCGGCGAAGCUUUGAAAUGAAGCCCCAGUAAACGGCGGCCGUAACUAUAACGGUCCUAAGGUAGCGAAAUUCCUUGUCGGGUAAGUUCCGACCUGCACGAAUGGUGUAACGAUUUGGGC